AAAGUAGAGUCACUAUUCAAUGGCUCAAACACGAGAUGUAUGUGGCAGGGUCUACAGUCAAUCACUGAUUACAAAAAGAAAACCUGUCCCGUCGCGGACAUCAACGUCUCGCUCUCAGACAAAUUAAACAACUUCUUUGCUCGCUUUGAGGACAAUACAGUGCCACUGACAGGGCCCGCUCCCAAAGCCUGUGGGCUCUCCUUCACCGUGGCCAAUGUGAGUAAAACAUUUAAAUGUUUUAACCCACGCAAGGCUGCCGGCUAAGAUGGCAUCCCUAGCCGCUUCCUGGGAGCAUGCACAGACCAGCUGGCUGGUGUGUUUACGGACAUAUUCAAUUAAUCCCUAACCCAGUCAGCUGUGCCCACAUGCUUCAAGAUGGCUAGACCCACUCCAAUUUGCUUACUGCCCUAAUAGGUCCACAGACGAUGCAAUCGCUAUCACACUGCACACUGGCCUUUCCCAUCUGGACAAGCGGAAUACCUAUGUAAGAAUGCUGUUCAUUGACUACAGCUCAGCAUUUAACACCAUAGUACCCUCCAAACUUGUCAUUAAGCUUGAGACCCUGGGUCUUGACCCAGCCCUGUGUAACUGGGACCUGGACUUUCUGAUGGUGGUGGUGAGGGUAGGAAACAACAUCUCCAUCCCGCUGAUCCUCAACACUGGGGCCCCACAAGGGUGCGUUCUCAGCUCCCCCCUGUAGUCUCUGUUCACCCAUGACUGUGUGGCCAUGCACGCCUCCAACUCAAUCAUCAAGUUUGCAGACGACAUUACAGUAGUAGGCUUGAUUACCAACAACGACAAGACAGCCUACAGGGAAGAGGUAAGGGCCCUUGGAGUGUGGUGUCAGGAAAAUAAACUCUCACUCAAUGUCUACAAAACAAAGGAGAUGAUCGUGCACUUCAGGAUGCAGCAGAGGGAGCAUCCCCCCGUCCAAAUCGACGGGACAGCAGUGGAGAAGGUGGAAAGUUUUACAAUCCUUGGCUUUCACAUCACGGACAAACUGAAAUGGUCCACCCACACAGACAGCGUGGUGAAGAAGGCGCAAAAGUGCCUCUUCCACCUCAGGAGGCUGAAGAAAUUUGGCUUGUCACCUAAAACCCUGAUAAACAUCUGCAGAUGGACAAUUGAAAGCAUCCUGUCGGGCUGUCGGGCUCCGGCCACAACCUUAAGGCUCUCCAGAGGGUGGUGCAGUCUGCACAACGCAUCACCGGGGGCAAACUACCUGCCCUCCAGGACACCUACACCACCCGAUGUCACAGGAAGGCCAAAAAGAACAUAAAGAACAACAACCACCCGAAAUACUGCCUGUUCACCCCGCUAUCAUCCAGAAGGCGAGGUCAGUACAGGUGCAUCAAAGCUGGGACCAAGAGUCUAAAAAACAGCUUCUAUCUCAAGGCCAGACUGUUAAACAGCUCUCACUAACAUACAGUGGCUGCUGCCAACAUAUUGACUUAUUUCAUAGUUUUGAUGUCUUCACUAUUAUUCUACAAUGUAGAAAAUAGCAAAAAUAGAGAAAAACCUUCGGAUGAGCAGCUGUGGCCAAACUUUUGACUGCCACUGUAUGUAGUAAAUAAGUAAAGAACUACAGGUAUUAAGUAGAACGUGUGAUGCAGUGAUGAAGAGUAAAUUAGUGGGAUUGGCGCCAUUUGGUGGCAACUAUAAACAACUGCAUAAUAAGACCUAAUAUAAAUGUAUGUACUCGUGACGCGACUUGUGACUCAGACUUGUGACUCAGACUUGUGACUCAGACUUGUGACUCAGACUUGGAGUCAGACUCGACGGACUGAAAAACAGCUUCUAUCUCAAGGCCAUCAGACUGUUAAACAGCCACCACUAACAUUGAGUGGCUGCUGCCAACAUACUGACUCAACUUCAGCCACUUUAAUACAUUUAAUGAAUUGAUUUAAUAAAGGUAUCACCAGUCACUUUAAAUAAUGGCACUUUAAUAAUGUCUACAUAUCCUACAUUACUCAUCUCAUAUGUAUAUACUGUAUUCUACACCAUCUACUGCAUCUUGCCUGUGCCGCAUGGCCAUCACUCAUCCAUAUAUUUAUAUGUACAUAUUCUUAAUCCUUCCUUUACACUUGUGUGUAUAAGGUAGUUGUGAAAUUGUUAUAUUACUUGUUAGAUAUUACUGCAUGGUCAGAACUAGAAGCACAAGCAUUUCACUACAUUCACAUUAACAUCUGCUAACCAUGUGUAUGUGACCAAUAAAAUGUGAUUUGUUUUGAUUUGAAGUCACCUUGUCUGAGAGAGAAUUACACGGUUAUCAAACCAUCAUGCCAGAGUAAGCCUACAGGAAACACAGCCCUUAUUUGAAGUGUAUCUCAAAACCCCUACGGGAGCAAUGAAUGGUGGAAAAAGGAUUGGAACCAUUUCCGUGUUCGACCACUAGGUUUAAUGGGUAGGAUGACUCACACUGUGCUACUCUAUUGAAUGUUGAUAUUCCCAAAAGGCCAGUCUCUUUGGCAAUGACAAGGAGUGGCAAGAAGUGGAACAUUAGCUAAAGAGACUAUGUACUCCCUGCAUAGUAGUUGAAAACAAACAAGGUGACCACUUUUCAUGAAUAAUUGUAACAGCUGUCGUUGGUGGAAGAAGGUGAGGACCAAGGUGCAGCUUGGUAAGUGUUCAUGAUUUUUAAUGUAAUCAAAACUGAACACUAAACAAAAAUAAUAACUUGGAAGAACGAACAAACGAAACAGUCCUGUCUAGUGAAAACACAAAACAGAAAACAAACACCCACGAAACACAGGUGGAAAAAGGCUACCUAAGUAUGAUUCUCAAUCAGAGACAACUAACGACACCUGCCUCUGAUUGAGAACCAUACCAGGCCAAACUCAUAAAAACAACAUAGAAAAACCAACAUAGACAACCCACCCAACACACGCCCUGACCAUAGUAAAACAAAAGACAAAACAGAGGAACUAAGGUCAGAACGUGACAAUAAUGGCGACAUCACAGUACAGAAUGGAUCCACAUCCACUGACUCUGUGUUGCCUAUAGAGUUUCCUCUACUCAAUCUGCUAAAUCUUUCUCAACAAUCUCUGAAUCACAAGACAAGCAGUACUUCCUAUAAAUAUGUUUGGGGCUGUUAUGGUCCUGAGUGGUUGUCUUGACAGGAUUCAGAGUUGUCUCAUCAGAACCAUCUGAAAAAUAUUAAUUCAAGUGUCUUGACUUUGGUAGAUUUAAUAUAUAUAUAAACCAGUCUGAAGAAUGAGGGACCAGCGGAUCUGACCCAACAUUUGGGAAACACUACUUUACAGGAACAGUACUCAUAUAUGUAUCUAGAUGCUAAAUGGAAGAUGUACUAUUUCUGAUUUAAUUUUUCCUGAGGCGUUGAAGGUGACGUCACCACCAUCUUCUGUGCCCUUUAAUAUCUAGUUCAGGAGGAGAAAAACAUCCUCUUUUAAAAUAACUCUUCAUCAUCAGACACAUACAGUAGAGAGCAGGGUGCUUGUUCACUCAUCACUGAUAUCAGGAGUUUACUUUAAUGUCAUUAAAGUUUAGCACUGGCGUGGGAUGUCAGAGUUACAUAGACAAGCAGGGAUUCAUAUGGGAACAGAGAAGUGUGAAAUGCACCACAGCAAAUGUGAAGAUCAAAACAUAAGUUAGACACAAGUUAGACUGCAUAUACACAUACUGUAAAUGCUUUGUGUUGACCAAGGUAAUACAUCUGACUUUGGCCCCAUGCUGUACCACUCAUACAAUCUACAAUACAACUGAGAAGGGAAAUAGUAUUAAAUACAAUACCAGCAGAAGAUGGGGAGGUGGUUGACAAGGCUGGUCUUGUAGUAGAGGCUGUACUUCCUGGAUAGUAGUUGAAAACAGAGUGACCACUUUUCAUUGGUGAAUACUGGUGACAUCACAGUACAGAAUGGAUCCACAACUCACUCUGUGUUGCCUGUAGAGUUCUCUACUCAAUCUGUUACAUCUUUCUCUACUCCAAUGUCUAGAGCACUAGACAAGCAGUACUUCCUAUUAAUACGUUUGGGCCUGUUUUUACAUGACCAGUCUUAUACUGUUGUGGAGUACUGCUGGUUGUCUUGAUGGGAAUUAGAGAAGUUACACCAGAACUGUCUGAAAAACAUAUAUUCAAGUGACCUUCUGGACGCAGCCUCAAACUCUGACACAGCAAGGAAAACACAGUACCCAGUUCUAUGUAUCCAGAGGACAGAUAAAACAUUUACUAUAUCUGCACACAUUAUACAGAUGGGAGUAUUUUACCUGGGACAGUAGAGAUGACAUCAUCACUAUCAGUGGUCUUUUCUUCAAUAUCUAAUUCAGUAGGAGAUGAACAUCCUCUUUUAGUUUAUUAAAUAACCCAUCAUCAUCAUCAUCAUCAGACGACAGCAGUAGGAUUCAAAUCAAAUUCAUCAUCAAUCACUAAUAUCACUAAUACCAGGAGAAAGGAUCAGGUUUGAUAUUAACAUCACAGAUCUUGUGAACUUAUUCAGAUUAUAGGAGCAUAACAAGAACACAUACCUGAGAAUGUGAAGGUGAAGUCAAUGGAGAUCUUCAUGUUUCCCUUUUCAGUCAGCGUGCACGUCCACUUCCUGUUGUUGUCCUUCUUCUGGAGUGUCACAGUCAGAGUGAUGUCACAGGAAGAAUCCUGUGUGUCCUGGGCAUUAGUACCUGUUUUAGGGACCCAGCUGAGACUAAAUCUUGACUGGCAUGUUCCAAGUUGCUUAUAGGUGAGCAGAGAACACUGUAAUUUCAUAUUUACAUUAGGCUUCAGAUCUGUCACUGCUGUGGUAGAGGAGACUGAGAAAGAGAAAAAGGUAUACAGUAUUUGUUGGUAGUUUUCACAUUACAUAUGAUUAUUAACACCACACUUAUACACAGUGACAUUUAAACUCUGAUUUAAACAGUAAUGCUCAAUAGUUAGAACAGACAGAUGAACAGGAGCAUCACCUCCAUGUUUUGGUCCAGUCUCUGUAAGGAACUGUUGACAGAUGUAGAGUCCAAAAUCCUCAGCUCUGACAUCACUAACAUGUAGAGAACAGUAGGACCCUAAACUCAGUCUCUCUGCUCUCUCUGUCUGGUCAACUUUGAUCUUCCCCAAUGUGACCUCUUCAAUAGUACCAGUAGAUCCAUCUCUGUUAUAGAUCCAUGUAGUUGAGGAACAGUUUGGAUAAACCACAUUGUUACACGGCAGACUGACAUUAUCUCCCACUCUGGAGAACAUAGAGAGAGUUUCUCCACUGACACCUGGAAGGAGUAUGACAUCAGAUAAUUAUUAACUGGUAAUACAGAUGACAUUAUAUUUCAUAGGUUUUCUUAUUGAUAUUCUUCAGUGUGAAUAAUAGUGUAAUAUACUGUCUAUUAUACAAUAGUGAAGAUAAGAGUAAACAGAUACACAACAGAAAUGUCAUCAUAAUAUUAGUAAAAUGUAAACUGAACUAGUUUGGCCGUGUGAAAUGAAUGUGUUUUAUGAUCUCUAAUGACAUAUUCUUACUCUCUCCUCUGUCUUACCUGUUAGUAGGUACAAAACGGUCACAAGCAAUCCCAAAAAUGAUUGAGGGAUGUCAGCCAUGAUCCUCUCUCUCUCUCUCUCUCUGUCUUUCUGUCUUUCUGUCUCUCUCUCUCUCUCUCUCUGGUCUGUCUCUCUGUCUCUCUGUCUCUCUCAUCUGUCUCUGUGUGUGUAUGUUUCUCUGUAUCUUUCCUCUGUCAGAGUGUCUCAGCACUAUGAGUUUCUCACCAUACAGCAGCAUCUCUAUUCAUCACUAUAGCAUCACUUCCUCAAAGUGGUCAUGGUUUUAAUCUAGUUUCUGACACCUUGGUGAGAAUCCUCCAGCUCACCAGCAGUUGAAGGCUGUCAUGACUGUCCUGAUCAGGUCAGGUUACAGGAGACCACAACCCUACAGAUUAUCUCUCAACCCCAACAGAGGAGGAGGGAUCUAGGGGUCUGAAGAUGUGGGGGGUUUUAUGGCCCCUCACUCCCCUGGUAAAUCUCUGGCCACAGACAAAUUCCUUUGUCUUGCUGCUAUGGAGAACCAGCCUCAGAACAUUAAACAUGAACUAAAGGGACUUUGGAACAAUGGUUUUCUUCAGCCACAAUGGUGGUCAUGACGAUAGAUGGAAUAUGAAAAUGUAUGUCAUUUUUGUUCUGUUAUUAAAGGUUAAUAGAUGACGUUAUUAUGAAAACAUUGUAAUGUGAAGGGUUUUCCUAGUAUAUGUCUGAUGUUUAUACAUUGUACGUUGUAUGGAAAAUAUCAAAAUCAAAGAGAAUGUUUUGGGGAAGAUUAAAUGUUAAGGUAGUCUAAAAUUGGAUUUGAGUCCUAUGCUGUGAGCUCUGAGCUACAGAGCUGUCUGUCCUCAGAAGACCCCUUCCAGAGAAAAGGGUGACGGUACAGACUCCUAAGCCAAAAAGGACACUGACACCGGGGGACGAGCAGGGAAGUGCGCAGGAGAAGUGCGUCAUCGAACAGCGGAACGGUCCACUCAGAGAAUCCUCUGAGAUCAUCCCCACUGCAAAACACCUCAGCUGUCUGUGACCAGACGACAAAACACUUCCAAGCCAAACCUUCAUAUCGUAACCGCUGACAAUUUGUCAGUUCAUGCUGCAAGAGCUCUGAUAGGUUGGCGGACGUCUUUCGGAAGUUCUCAUAGUUACUGUGGAAGAGGGAUUGGAAGUCAUUCAGAAAUGCUGCUGCCACAUCAUUGGCACUUCCUACAACUCCCUCCCAAGGCCUUCAAAGUGCUCCUGCACAACCACCAGUCCUCUGAACAAGUGUCUAACCCCUACACAGUAACAGUAUGAUCUGAGGAGUUCAAUGUAACACACUGCACUACCAGACACCACAGAUCAUUCACAAGAGCUCUCAAACUAUGCAAAUCGUUUUCUCCAUCACUAAAGACAUUUAAUAUGACUAUUUAUUGCUUUGGUGGUGUCUAUUUGUUGUGUGACUUUUGAUGACCCACUGUCCGUAUAUUAAGGCAGAUUCUACCUGUUUGUGUAUGACAUCACAUUUUAUGUAUGUUUCUGCAUAUGUACCAAUAUGUUCUAAACCUGUCAAGGACUGAAGUGGACAUCCAAUCACGUUCCUGUAAUACCAGGGUAUAUUCCUCUUACCAGCGUAUUGAAGCAGCACAUAACUGUGUGUAAAGAAUCAGUAUAAAAAAGGACAGAUGAGUGAAUUUCAAAUGUUAGAGAGGUGAAUGUAACUACAACCAAUGAUGUAGAUGUACACAGAAUAUUGAAUAUUAAUGUAUAUGUCUGCAACUGGUCCUUCUUUUAGUGGUUAUUUCAGCUCAAACCACUUCUGUUUUUCUGAGACUGAGCAGAGAGAGAGAAAUAAGUCAUAGUGAUGGGUUGUCUUUACAUUUUAAAACACAGAAUAUUAUCUCACCCUAAAAAUAACAUAUCUAGUCAUUUGACACCUUCAAAAGAAGUAGAAACAACACAAAGAUACCGCAGAAACAGUGGCCUGUAUUGUUUCUAUGGGGAUUGACAUCGAGACACUGUUUUAGGGUUUUUACUAGAUCGUCUACAGCUAUGGAUUGAAAUUACUUUUUCGUAGCAGGUUAGGAGAACUUGCGUAGCAGGUUAGGAGAAUUAGGAUAAGGUUAGGAAAAGGGUUAGGGUUAGCUAAAAUGCUCUCCAAACCUGCUGAGAAACGACACUUCCGUCAAUAGCUGUACUCCUAGUUACAAACUGUUUUUCGCUGUUGAGUUUGAUGUAAAUGUAAAUAUUUCCAUUGUUAUAAAUGUGAAUGUAACUGCAGUUAAUGAUGUACAUAAACAGAAUAAUAAGUA